CCUACGGGUGGCAGCAGUGAGGAAUAUUGGGCAAUGGCGGAGACUCUGAACCAGCAACGCCGCGUGAAUGAUGAAGGUCUUCGGAUUGUUAAAUUCUUUUCUACGGGGAGCAAAUGCCGGUACCUGACUCCGAAGCCCCGGCGCACUACGUGCCAGCAGCCGCGGUAAUACGUCGGGGGCAGGCGUUAUCCGGAUUUACUGGGUGUAAAGGGAGCGUAGACGGUUAAUCAAGUCAGAAGGGAAAACCCAGGGCGCAACCUUGGGACUGCGUUUGAAACUGCGUAGCUAGAGUGCAGGAGAGGUAAGCGGAAUGCGUGGUGUAGCGGUGAAAUGCGUAGAUAGCAGGAGGAACACCAGGUGCGAAGGCGGCUUACUGGAGUGUAACUGACGUUGAGGCUCGAAAGCGUGGGUAGCAAACAGGAUUAGAUACCCCAGUAGUC
rnacentral:rRNA from 1 species